rnacentral:lncRNA from 1 species
GGCGGAACUGUGAUGGUUCGUUUUAUGCAAACUUGCUGAGUUGAAAUCUCGUUUUCAUUGUUAACAAAUGCCGCAUUUAUCACUUUAUUGUUGAUGGUAAUUGUGGGAGUACUCAGGUUUAUCACUGCGCUCAGUGUGUCCAAAAUAUCUACCCUAAGUAUAACAUCGUCUGUUAAUGGCUCUUUGCACACAUCCAAUUGUAU